GUCGCGCGCGCGCGAGUCAGUUACUGAGGUAGUGGCGACGAUACAUCACAUCACAGAGCAACCAGCAGCAACAGCAGCAGCAACAGCACUCGAUCAGCACUCACUUGUCGGCCGACAGCUCGUGACAGCUCGCGGUGUGGGUAUCUCGGCGCACGGCUCCCAACGGACCGAUGCGACUACCUGUACGAUUCUCGAACGGUCACCUGGGGGAGGAAACCAGGAACGCGGCGCCGGCAGCGUGUACUAAUUAGCGCGACAGUUAAUUGCCGAAGAGCACGAGCCGCCAAGAGCAAUUGACCGCAUGCGUGCGCGUCCCGCGUCGACGUGACCAGCUGCAGCCUGUUGCAAGCGGCGGAUUAUGACUGGAACCUGCUAAGUGCUAGUUCAAAUCGCCUCGGAGAAAGACAGUUUUAAUGUGGCUUCCGGAUGUUGUGGUAUUUUUUUACAAGUGGUACAUUUAUCAAAUUAAAGAUAGAGUGAUUCAGCGC